UACGUAGGGUGCAAGCGUUGUCCGGAAUUAUUGGGCGUAAAGAGCUCGUAGGCGGUUUGUCGCGUCUGCUGUGAAAACUCGAGGCUCAACCUCGGGCUUGCAGCGGGUACGGGCAGACUAGAGUGCGGUAGGGGUGACUGGAAUUCCUGGUGUAGCGGUGGAAUGCGCAGAUAUCAGGAGGAACACCGAUGGCGAAGGCAGGUCACUGGGCCGCAACUGACGCUGAGGAGCGAAAGCAUGGGGAGCGAACAGG
rnacentral:rRNA from 1 species